ACUGCCCCUAGAGGCGUUGCAGUGUGGCUGCUGUGUCGCACUUGCGUCAGUAGGUGGCGGAGAGAAGAGAGGCUAUGUCUACGCUCAGUGUUCUCACCCGUGAACGUUUGAAUGAUUAAUAGCCUGACACUG
ensembl:snoRNA